rnacentral:lncRNA from 1 species
AAUGACGUCACGCCGUUCAGAUGUUAUCCCGCAAACCUGUUUACGAGAGCUGUAAGUAAAAUGUAAGUGUCAGUAGUCGCUGUCGGGACAAUUGAAACACCUGUUUCAAACGUCCCGCACAUAUGCGUAAUUACGCGAACAUUGCACGAUCAUUACCUGUAUAAAUCACAGAAUUAAUAAAUGUUUUGCAAUGAAUAACUACUGCUUUGAAUUAAUAACAUAUUUUGAAUGAACAAAACGUGUUAAUCACAUGCAUCAACAGAUUAUUACUGAGUGAAAAAUGCCGUGCGUGAGAAGGAGAACCACCUCCCGUGGGCUGGUUCCUGCAUGGGUGUAUGCCAGGGCCUGCAGCGAGGUCAAUUCUGGGAGCUCUGAGGCAGGCAGCGUUGGCAAACAUAAAUCAUGUGACGUUGUCACGCUACCUCAAGCGGAGGGCAGUGAAGCGGCUAGGUCCCCUGGCUAUAACCCGCACAAUAGGGUUUUUAACGCAGCGCAGGAGGGAAAGGUCAGGGACUUCCCGAAGAGGGCAGCAGCCAUUUAUUUUGAGAAGGGUCCAGCUGCAGGCUUGGGCGUUCCCGUCAUGACACAAAAACGCCCAUCGGGCGUUCCCGUCAUGACACAAAAAUGCCCAUCAGGCGUUCCUGUAGCGUUUCAUCGAUCAAUCAAGAAGAGUACCCUGGCACAUGCUUUGUCCAAUGGACCAUGGAAGGGACUUUACUUGGCUGACGAGCAAUAUGAUUUCAGUGAGGGGGACAUGCUCUCUAUCAGGAGGUGGUGGUUGGACUGCUGUUGGAGACCUUUAUGCUUGAAAGCCCUGCAGAACUAG